CAAUGCUUUUGAUCUGCUAGCAAAGUAUCGUACUACACAUCUUGUGUUUAAUGAUGAUAUACAGGUAAUAUUUCCUUGUAUGAUUCAAGAGCUUUCUUAUUCUACUGGCACCUUGUGUUCAAUGAUUCAAGAGCUUUCUUGUUGACACAUUUCCCUCAGUUCUCAAUGCUACAUAAUUAUAUCACAAGGAACAUCAUAUGUUGUCCUUGCUGGGCUCGUUUCAGCUUUGGAAGUACUUGGUGGAGCGUUAAUUGACCAAACUUCUUGUUCCUAGGCGCCGGAGAGCUUGGAACUGGAAUAGUUGAGCUUAUUGCACUUGAAAUUUCAGUGAAGUCAGGGGUUAAGUUAGAUGAAGUUCGAAAAAAGAUUUGACUUGUCGACUCAUCAAAGGCACUUGCACUGAUCUCAUCAAUUUUGACUAGCUUCAUAAUAAUGUAUAUUUUUUUUACUGCUGCCAUGAACUUGACCUUUUUCACCAAUAAAACUUGUUUGCUUUUA